AGCUCCUGUACAUUGUCUAAGUGUUCCAGCACCCCAGGGAGGGGCCGGUUAUCAACCCAUUUUACAGGGCAGGGUAAGUCGCCAGAGGCUGGUCUGGGUCCAGCAAUCUGCCCACAAGCUGGCCACCACGGGCUCCAGCGCUCAGCACGUGUUCAGCUGCUCCCCGACUGACUAGACCAGGCGGCUGAAUCCAGAGCAAAGUCCCACCAGGCCCGCAGAUCUUCAUCCUCGUGAGACAUGCUCCUGUGAUUUAUUAGCUGUAGCUCGAGUUCAGUCAGCACAUGUCUUUCUUCCUCUCCUUCACCCUUCAGCCGUUUAUCAGGAAGAGCCCCCUUUGAGUCCAGAAGUGGUGGCAACGAGCUAUGGGGGAGUCUUCUUCCAGGAAAACUUCCUUGUUUUCUUCCCACGCCACCACGCGGGUCUCCAACGAAGGCGUGACGGGACCAGAGCUUUUCCUAUAGUUCAAAUAGUCUGAAGAAAAAAAAAAAAACAAACCUUCCAAAGAAAAUGCACGUAAACUGA